rnacentral:rRNA from 1 species
GAGUCAUUGGGACUCUGUUAAACCUAAAGGCGCAAUGAAAGUAAAGGUCAGCCUCGCGCGGACCGAGGGAGGAUGGGCCCGUCCGCGGGCGGGCCCCGCACUCCCGGGGCGUCUCGUUCUCAUCGCGAGAAGAGGCGCACCCAGAGCGUACACGCUGGGACCCGAAAGAUGGUGAACUAUGCCUGGUCAGGACGAAGUCAGGGGAAACCCUGAUGGAGGUCCGUAGCGAUUCUGACGUGCAAAUCGAUCGUCGGAACUGGGUAUAGG